CACGUAGGGUGCGAGCGUUGUCCGGAAUUAUUGGGCGUAAAGAGCUCGUAGGCGGUGUGUCGCGUCGGCCGUGAAAACCUGCAGCUUAACUGUGGGCUUGCGGUCGAUACGGGCAUCACUGGAGUUCGGCAGGGGAGACUGGAAUUCCUGGUGUAGCGGUGAAAUGCGCAGAUAUCAGGAGGAACACCGGUGGCGAAGGCGGGGUCUCUGGGCCGAUACUGACGCUCAUGCACGAAAGCGUGGGGAGCAAACAGG
rnacentral:rRNA from 1 species